rnacentral:tRNA from 1 species
UGCUGCAGUUGCUCAGUAUGGAGAGAGCACCUGUCCUGAAAACAGCCGGUCCUUGUGGGGCUUGCAGGUUCGAAUCCUGCCUGCAGCGU